UACAGAGGGUGCAAGCGUUGUCCGGAUUUAUUGGGCGUAAAGAGCGUGUAGGCGGCCAAGUAGGUCCGGUGUGAAAACUCGGAGGCUUAACCUCGAGAUGUCAUCGGAAACCAUUUGGCUAGAGUCCGGGAAGAGGAAAGUGGAAUUCCUGGUGUAGCGGUGAAAUGCGCAGAUAUCAGGAGGAACACCAAUGGCGAAGGCAGCACUCUGGGACGUGACUGACGCUGAGACGCGAAAGCGUGGGGAGCAAACAGG
rnacentral:rRNA from 1 species